UACAGAGGUCUCAAGCGUUGUUCGGAUUCAUUGGGCGUAAAGGGUGCGUAGGCGGCGCGGUAAGUCGGGUGUGAAAUCUUGGAGCUUAACUCCGAAACUGCAUUCGAUACUGCCGUGCUUGAGGACUGGAGAGGAGACUGGAAUUUACGGUGUAGCGGUGAAAUGCGUAGAUAUCGUAAGGAAGACCAGUGGCGAAGGCGGGUCUCUGGACGUC
rnacentral:rRNA from 1 species